UAAGAAUAUUCCGCAAUGGACGAAAGUCUGACGGAGCGACGCCGCGUGGAUGAAGAAGGCCGAAAGGUUGUAAAGUUCUUUUGCUAGGGGAGAAUAAGUGAGGGAGGGAAUGCCCUCAUGAUGACAAGGACUAGCGAAUAAGCCCCGGCCAACUACGUGCCAGCAGCCGCGGUAACACGUAGGGGGCGAGCGUUGUUCGGAAUUACUGGGCGUAAAGGGCAUGUAGGCGGCUUGGUAAGCCUGGCGUGAAAGACUGCAGCUUAACUGUAGGGAUGCGUUGGGAACUGCUUAGCUUGAGUUACGGAGAGGGAGCUGGAAUUCCUGGUGUAGGGGUGAAAUCUGUAGAUAACAGGAAGAACACCGAUGGCGAAGGCAAGCUUCUGGUCGAUAACUGACGCUGAGGUGCGAAAGUGUGGGGAUCAAAC
rnacentral:rRNA from 1 species